UCCGUCUCGUUCUCUGUGUCUAUGAGACUGCUUCUGUUUUGCUUUUUCAUUUAUGUUGUGCUUUCGAAUCCAUAUGUGAGUGCACUCCUAUGGUAGUUGUCUUUCUCUGACUUAUUUCUCUGAGCAUAACACCUUCAAGGCCCAUUUACUUGGAGCCUCUCUGCACGUCUUGACUCACCUCCCUUGUCUGAGCUGUUACUUCCCCGUCUCUGCUUCUGUGGGCCGUACUCCUGUGACUGCAACGGACACUCUCUUCUGGGGCUUGUCUUUCAUGUUGAUGAAGAUUUCACAUGCUCUAUCCAGGACGAAACCCACAAGGCCACGAGUUUGACCUGCUUGCGACUGGCAGCUACCUCACUGGACUCCUGCGCGCGUGCCCAGAAGCCGCCAAUCGGGAUGCAGCACCUUGUCCUGUUAGCAACUUUCUGAGUUGCCUGGACUUCAAGCCCCUGUUAUGGUGGUUCCCAGAGCUACUAGGAUCAAGGGAGCAGUUGGCCAUCCCUGUGGGGCCAAGCCAGGUUGGGAGAAGACACACACAACAAGUGGGUUUCAUGCAAGCCUUGUCUGCCAAACUCAAGUGACCUUUAGCAUGGAAAUGGUAGAACAAGUCUGGUCAGUGGAAACUACCACUGUCUUGUUCUUUGAAGUCAAAUCCUCUCUUACCUGCCCUGCCCCAACCCCUCCAACCCUUGCCCCUGCCAUCUGUUCUGAAGACGAGUUUUGUUCCCACAGCUGCCAGGUUCUUUUCUUUGAAAAUACUGUGCCUUUGUGUGUGGAGUUUAAAAUAAUCUUCAUGCUUGGGCGACCUUCUGAGUCGGAAUCUGCGGUAGAACAUUUGAGGUAAGAGAAAGCUAAAGCCACAAUUGAGGGAGAAGUUUAUAGAGGAGCAUCUACGGGUGCUAAUACCACUAGUCCAUAAGCACAGAGGAAAGGUCCAUUAGGGGCCUGGGAAGGAGAAAUCCUCUCUAAUGUGUUGGCUACUGUGAAGUAUCAUUUGUUCUGGGUCACCCCUUAGUUGGAGGUAGGCAGGGGAAUGGAGUUAGAAAAAUAGGGAUGAAAAUAACAGGACAGGCAGAUUAGGAAGGGCCUUGUCAGUUUUGUACCAAAGAGUGAAGCCACGCAGGGAAAAAAUGACCCUGUAGAUAUGGCUACAUAAAGUAAGUAAAUUUAUCCCUGCAUCUGAAAGCCACAGACAUAACUAAGAGGAAAACAACAACACACACACACAACAACAGGAAAAGAACUUGCACCAUAUAUGACAGAAUGGCGGUCUCUUUCUAUACAUACAACUGUUAAAGGAAAUGCGCUGAGUAUUUUCAAAACACAAACAGGUUCUGGUGUGAGUAUGAAGGAACAAGAAUUCUCACAGAAUGUGGGUGGCAAGACAAAUGGAUCUGUGUUUCUUGCAGUGCGCACCAAGCCUGUUGCGUGUUUACGCCUUCAAUCCAGAACUCUACUUCUGAAACUCUAUUCUAAACAACCCGAGGCGGUUAAAAUAUGGAUGCACCACAACAUGCUUUUCACAUUCCGGGGGGUAGUCUUUGAGGAAGGUAUCAAUGUGCUUUCCUCAUAUAUAUCUUCUUCAUUGAAUUUCCCUCCAAGUCACUAUUGAGUCUUCCUCCCACAAAGCAGAGUGGCCAGUUGAAGUCACCUGCUGCAUGUAAAUUACAAGAGUGCCUGCCUUUUAUCACACUUGGGCUUGUGGCUGGAAACUCUGUACCGGCUACACGCAUUACAGGGAAAAUUGCAGAUAGCACCAGCAGUGGUGCCAUGACAUCUCCAACUGCCCAGCUCCGCCCUGUUGGGGGAUUUAUGCUGGCCACCACCCCGUGAAGCACAGGCUGUUCCCGCCCUCAUCUGAUACCUGUGGAAGCUGGCACACAGUCAGGGGUCUCGGGGCUCCUCACAGAGGGCCCCAUAGUUCAGUCAGAUGCUACAGAUCACACACUGCUUUGCAGGAUGCCUUCCUGCCCCCAACACCAGAGGCUAAUAAAAGACUCACUGGGGAAGAGGGUAAAAGAGCCGGCAAAACUUUUCAAAGCAUGUAUGACUUAGUUAUUGCUCACAAUCGAGUCCUCAAUGGAAAGGAGGGGGGUGGGGGAAGCCAUGUAGGAGGUGUUU